UACGGUUUUCCGAUUUCUGAGUUUUAAAACAUUCCAAUGAUUAAUCGCCAAAGACUGUAUUCUGAUAAGCUGUCUUCUAAUUAUUGUCUCCAAAAGUAUAGGAUUAAUUACAUACAAGUACAUUUAUUAGACAGCAGGCGAGAAAAUUGAGGGUUGUCAAGUGCCACUGGUUGAUGCAGUUAAUAUUUUUAUGACAAUCCAGUAUGAAAUUAUUGAUUUCAACUUUUCUAAAAUUAGUUUUGAAACCUUCUGCAGAUAUGCUAGAAGGGGUCGUAAUACUGGGGACCUUAUUUCAUAUAAGAGGAGUACUCAGUGGUUGAGAGAUGCUGGAAUAGUAGGACAAAUAUUGACAGCUGAGGAAGCUGACAGAGCCUUCAAAUGCGCAGCAGGUGUUAAAGUUGCUCUUAACAAGUGCGACUACCGACGUUUUUUGGACAAAUUAACUCGACUAAAAAGAUUGAGAUAUAGUGAAGUUUAUGAAAGGCUGUGCGGAGCAGUGAGUGGGCUAACGUAGGGUUAUACGACAUGAAGUAGCAUCAUUAUUUAUUCAUUUCAUGUGAAGGCAAUGCCGGAAGAUUAGAAAAUAACACUGAAGUGCAUGACUGACAAUAUGGUUGGA